GACGAACGCUGGCGGCGUGCUUAACACAUGCAAGUCGAACGAUGAAGCCGGAGCUUGCUCCGGUGGAUUAGUGGCGAACGGGUGAGUAACACGUGAGCAAUCUGCCCUUGACUCUGGGAUAACUGCGGGAAACUGUAGCUAAUACCGGAUACGACACCUUGGGGCAUCCCAGGGGGUGGAAAGAAUUUCGGUCAAGGAUGAGCUCGCGGCCUAUCAGCUAGUUGGUGAGGUAAUGGCUCACCAAUGCGACGACGGGUAGCCGGCCUGAGAGGGUGACCGGCCACACUGGAACUGAGACACGGUCCAGACUCCUACGGGAGGCAGCAGUGGGGAAUAUUGCACAAUGGGCGAAAGCCUGAUGCAGCAACGCCGCGUGAGGGAUGAAGGCCUUCGGGUUGUAAACCUCUUUUAGCAGGGAAGAAGCGAAAGUGACGGUACCUGCAGAAAAAGCACCGGCUAACUACGUGCCAGCCGCCGCAGUAA
rnacentral:rRNA from 1 species